UAGGAGAAGAAGUUCUGAGAAGACUGACUACAGAUUGGCUGGCCUGGCUGACCCAGGAACUUCUGAGCAGACUGACCUCAGAUUGUAUGGCCUCGUUGACCACAAAACAUCUGUAAAGACUCACCACCAAGUGUACGGCCAAGCCACUGAACUAGCUGAACACCAGGCUAUUGACCAAGCUCAUAGUAAUGCUGAUCAACCUCCAGUUGACAAUGCUCACUACACUGAAUCUGACCAGACUGACCACUUAGCAGACAGACAAGCUAAUCAUAAAGACCAGCUGUCUUACUAUGAAACACGUGGCCAGUCUGAAGACAGAAUAUUUCCCCAGUUAGGCAACAGCAAAGAGGACAAAGAGGCUGACUACAGAGUACAACCCUGCAAAUUUGAGGAUAGCCAAGUAGACCUCAAUUCCAAGCCUUCAGUUGAAAUGGAAACUCAGAAUGCAACCACUAUCCCACCCUACAACCCAGUUGAUGCCAGAUUCACCAGUAACUUCCAAGCAAAAGACCAAGCUCUUUUCCCAAGACUCCCCUCCAUCUCAUCCAAAUUGAACUAUACCAGCAGUCAAGAAAAAACUCAAGCCAUAGUAACCAAAUCUCAGAUUACUGAAAACUUAGUCUAUGAAAAGCCAGAGGACCCCCUGAAUUUUAUGCUGUGCCAGGUGCAGGAAAUGAUGAAAAAGAGAGACAAAAUGUGAAAUCUACAAAGAACGAGCCUCUCUUCAGUAUUGUUUACAAUCAUGUGUCAAUACUAUGUUCUGUUUUCCAUCUGAAAAAAAAAUGGUUUUGAAUAGACAUUAGUGGUGACUCUACCUGAAUGCAUUAUUAAUUUUUAAGUAAAAAAUCUAUAGAAUAUCUAUGUAAAAUUUACAUAACAAUUACAGAUAUCUCUGGAUAAUCAUACAAAAAUAUACACAUUAUACUUAUGCAUGCAUUGAUAUUUCAAUACUCAUUCCCCUAAAUCUCUGAAUAAGUCCACAAAUCACAACUAGCAAUUUAUAUGUACUUCUUAUAAAGCAUAUAAAUCUGUCUCCAAGCUAUUUACAAAAUGUCUAAUCAAAAAAUGUGUGAAAAAGAAUUUAUCACAGCAUUUUUUUCUUAAUGAAAGAUUAUUGUUGUAAUAUCUCUUAUUUAUUUUUGCUGUUUCUUCUUUAACCUUGUUUGUUAUAUUCUGCCAUUAGUGGAUGUGAUUCUAAUCUUUUCCUAUGGAUAGCUCACUUCUGAUUUGUAACCUACAGCAAAACUCAAACAUGUUAUACUGCUCCGUACACACCUGUGGGUGAGGCAGAACAUCACUUUCUCAUUACCUUUUCCCUUAAAGAGUAUCUGCAUCAUGUGGAAUGUAUAACCAGUUCAACUGGUAUUUUAAUGCAAAAAUUCUUAACUUGGUCUGUCUGGUAUGAGUGUGUCUGCCUAAAGAUCAUAACUGAGAUGAUCAUCUGAUACUACUUUUGUGAUAUGAACCCUCCAUUUAAUUUCUAUUUGAACAUUACAGGAGACUUGAGUUUUUACAAUGUUUAGUUGAUGAAUUGGUAUUGUUAUAUGGUUGAAUUACAAUAAAUUAAGUUUCU
rnacentral:lncRNA from 1 species